CACAGAGCAUUAGCACCCAAGCAGGACCUGCUGAACCUGGGGCCCUAUAGGAGAGCACUGAUGGCCCACCCCUGAUUGUGGCCCUGGUCUUCAUGUCUGCAUCAGCCUCAGCCAUCUCAAGACCACAACAGGAACAUAGCCAAGUCAGAGAAGGAAGACCAAAAGCACCAGGGCCCUUCAUAUUAUUAAGCUGCUAAAUUAACUAAUCUUGGAAACUUCUAGACUCUACAAUUCUUGUUGUAUGAGAGUGGAUUGACAAUUAUUCUCUGGACUUUUUGGUAACCAAGAACUUCUAGCAACUAACCCUGGCAUGACCACCAGAAUCUGCAGGGCUGAGAGAAGAAAGAAAGGCAAAAGUGGAUGAAUGCAGCUGAAGAUGCUGUGGAACUCCUAUCACAUUCCAAGUGCUGUGUUGAUAUCUGGAGAUAUAGACAAGAUCGAAGCAGAUGCAGUCUUUCACAUGAAUAUUUGAAUCAGGCAGAUGCAGGUGAUGGGUAUUGGCCUCAGCUUUAGAGACCAGAGGUUAAAUCUCAGUGCUGCCUGCCACAAAACGAUCCAUGUAAGUCAAUAAACAAUGCUUUUUAAAAUAUUAUUAUAAAG
rnacentral:lncRNA from 1 species